GUGUUAUUGUGCAUUCUUACGACAAGAAAUUGGAGCAUUCAAUCGUUUUCUGACGAGUUGUUGUUAUUCCUUUGGGUUGUGGGGAUAAUAAUCAAGG
rnacentral:pre_miRNA from 1 species